rnacentral:lncRNA from 1 species
AUCCAUAUGCAAAUUAACACAGCGCUAGGAGGCUAUAUUUUUAUUAUAAAAAUUAUUUAAUUAUAUAUUUUUUUUGAUAUAGAUGGAUGCUGACGCUAAUCUAACAUGAAAGUACAUUCUAAAAGAUUAAAAAGUAAAAUAUCUUAUAAAGCUUGCGAGCAAGUUUGAUCUGUCGUCAAAUCUAGUUACCAGUAUAUUCAACUACAUAGGAGGUGAUCCAAUCAACGGCGUUGUUUGCCUCCUGAAAGAUAUGUUGAGCAGACACCAUAACAAAAUCUCAAAGACGGAUAUCAUGAAGGAGCAAAUGAACCUCCAAUUGUAUCAUGUCGUUUCGAAUCUAGCCUAUCACGAUGGUAGAGUUUCCCUCAAUGAUAAUUCUCUCUAUUUGUAGCUCCUAUCAACUACAAAUAAUGCCAGUCCAAACAUGUUCAAUUUUUGAGACAGAAAAUUCAAAGAGAUAUGAAAUGCCACCACAAGCAAUCUGGCAUUCAGUCUCCAGAUGAUAAAACUAAUACUAUCCUUGCCAUCUCUAACAUUAUCAUUGAAAUUUACCUUAAUAAAUCCCGAAGGAAG